UUUUUCCUCAAAAUAACACAAGUUGCUGACUGCAAAUAACACUGGUAAAGAAAAGCAAUCUAUCUGGGCUCAUUCCAUUUUCCUACUAAGAUGAACAUUAGUUCUUGGAGACACCUUUUACUUUUGCAACUGUUAGGUUUUUCCAGGUGGUUUGCCGUAGUACAUUCAUAAAUCAAAGCAUGUUUCUGACAGAUUUAAAUUGUAUUUUCAGUGUGAGUGGAAAGAGCAAUGGACUAGAAAUUACGGAGACCUGGGUUCUGGGUCUAAGUCCGCCAUGAACAGAGCACGGUACGAGGUGUCUCUUCCGCUUCGACUUCCUCAUUCAUCACGGGCAGAAUCGGAACAGGUAUACCUGCCAGUCAGCAAGAUAGGGAAGAAAUAUGACAAGUUGCAAAGCCCUCAAGGAUUAAGGUUAACGAGAAAAGAAAGGCAUUUAAAAAUUGAAAGAAAAGUUUUGAAAAGAGGGAAGAGUCUCAAAUUCUUAAGAAAUUUGUCAGUAGAAUACCUACACCAAUGCCUUUGAAUAAAUUAACGAACAAUAGACUCCGCAUCUAUGGA
rnacentral:lncRNA from 1 species